rnacentral:tRNA from 2 species
GGGCCUAUAGUUCAGUGGUAGAAUUUCGGUCUCCAAAACCGACGACAGAGGUUCGAAUCCUCUUGGGCCCG